UACGUAGGGGGCGAGCGUUGUCCGAAGUUACUGGGCGUAAAGCGCGUGUAGGCGGCAGCGCAAGUCGGGCGUGAAAUCCCACGGCUCAACCGUGGAAGUGCACUCGAAACUGCGCAGCUAGAGUCCUGGAGAGGAAGGUGGAAUGCUUGGUGUAGAGGUGAAAUUCGUAGAUAUCAAGCGGAACACCGGUGGCGAAGGCGGCCUUCUGGGACAGUGACUGAC
rnacentral:rRNA from 1 species